rnacentral:lncRNA from 1 species
AGCAAUGAUGGAUUGGAUUCCUGUCUCUAAGCUUCUUGUCUGGUGUCCCCUGGAUCAACACCAUGAUUUGCAAGAUGAUUGGAUAAACUCACUGGUGAAGCAAUGAACUAUGCUGAGGCAUGGAAUGUUCUUCUGGGCUACUAUUUCCUUCAAUCAAGUUAAUUUUCAUGCAUUCUUACAACCACGUGGACUCUGAUAUCUACCAGAACACCUGAGAAGACCCUGUCUCCUGGUUUUCUUGCUUUCACCAGCCUUACAAGUAUUUACAGCAUAAAAUAUCUAUGAGGAAGAUCAGCCUUGAGCUAACUACUGCCAGUCCUCCUCUUUUUGCUGAGGAAGACUGGCCCUGAGCUAACAUCUGUGCCCAUCUUCGUCUGCUUUAUAUGUGGGAAGCCUACCACAGCAUGGCUUUUGCCAAGCGGUGCCAUGUCUGCACCCGGGAUCUGAACCUGCGAACCCCAGGCUGCCAAGAAGCAGAACAUGCAAACUUAACUGCUGUGCCAUGGGGCCGGCCCCGAUGUGCUCCAUUUUUAAGUUGUAAAAUACAAAUAUUAUACAUACUGGGAAUAUAAUAGCUUAAUGGAUUUUCUUAGGAAUAUAGUUUCAUGAAGUGCAUGAAUGGUGUGUAUUGAAUCAGCCUGUCUAGAUAUGGAGACCAGGAAAGCUGAAUCAGCUUCAUUCUAAACCAUCAACAUCUGUGACCUUGGAACAAAUCAAUAGAGUCUAUUCAGCUUGUCUUUGGGAAAUGGAGUUAAUUCAACUUCUAAUUCAAGUCAAUUAAUAUCUAUGGGUCCAUCACGUUGUUCCUGGCUCCA